rnacentral:rRNA from 1 species
GACGAACGCUGUUUGGCGUGCUUAACACAUGCAAGUCGAACGGAAAGGCCCUGCUUUUGUGGGGUGCUCGAGUGGCGAACGGGUGAGUAACACGUGAGUAACCUGCCCUUGACUUUGGGAUAACUUCAGGAAACUGGGGCUAAUACCGGAUAGGAGCUCCUGCUGCAUGGUGGGGGUUGGAAAGUUUCGGCGGUUGGGGAUGGACUCGCGGCUUAUCAGCUUGUUGGUGGGGUAGUGGCUUACCAAGGCUUUGACGGGUAGCCGGCCUGAGAGGGUGACCGGCCACAUUGGGACUGAGAUACGGCCCAGACUCCUACGGGAGGCAGCAGUGGGGAAUAUUGCACAAUGGGCGGAAGCCUGAUGCAGCAACGCCGCGUGCGGGAUGACGGCCUUCGGGUUGUAAACCGCUUUCGCCUGUGACGAAGCGUGAGUGACGGUAAUGGGUAAAGAAGCACCGGCUAACUACGUGCCAGCAGCCGCGGUGAUACGUAGGGUGCGAGCGUUGUCCGGAUUUAUUGGGCGUAAAGGGCUCGUAGGUGGUUGAUCGCGUCGGAAGUGUAAUCUUGGGGCUUAACCCUGAGCGUGCUUUCGAUACGGGUUGACUUGAGGAAGGUAGGGGAGAAUGGAAUUCCUGGUGGAGCGGUGGAAUGCGCAGAUAUCAGGAGGAACACCAGUGGCGAAGGCGGUUCUCUGGGCCUUUCCUGACGCUGAGGAGCGAAAGCGUGGGGAGCGAACAGGCUUAGAUACCCUGGUAGUCCACGCUGUAAACGGUGGGUACUAGGUGUGGGGUCCAUUCCACGGGUUCCGUGCCGUAGCUAACGCUUUAAGUACCCCGCCUGGGGAGUACGGCCGCAAGGCUAAAACUCAAAGGAAUUGACGGGGCCCCGCACAAGCGGCGGAGCAUGCGGAUUAAUUCGAUGCAACGCGUAGAACCUUACCUGGGUUUGACAUGGAUCGGGAGUGCUCAGAGAUGGGUGUGCCUCUUUUGGGGUCGGUUCACAGGUGGUGCAUGGCUGUCGUCAGCUCGUGUCGUGAGAUGUUGGGUUAAGUCCCGCAACGAGCGCAACCCUUGUUCACUGUUGCCAGCACGUUAUGGUGGGGACUCAGUGGAGACCGCCGGGGUCAACUCGGAGGAAGGUGGGGAUGACGUCAAGUCAUCAUGCCCCUUAUGUCCAGGGCUUCACGCAUGCUACAAUGGCUGGUACAGAGAGUGGCGAGCCUGUGAGGGUGAGCGAAUCUCGGAAAGCCGGUCUCAGUUCGGAUUGGGGUCUGCAACUCGACCUCAUGGAGUCGGAGUCGCUAGUAAUCGCAGAUCAGCAACGCUGCGGUGAAUACGUUCCCGGGGCU